rnacentral:lncRNA from 1 species
AUUUGGCAUAUGUUCAACAGCAAUUAAUUUCAUUUCUUCCCCCAAAUAGGCCUAUGUGUGACUAGAGAUGGUGGGAGUAUAAGAAAAAGGACAACUCAUUAUUGAUGUUUCAGAUGCCGUCAUGUUAUGGAUGACACUGGCAGGGACCCCAAGGGAGGGAGAGACACCAGAAUACAGGCACACAGAGAAGAGGCCACCUGAGGACACAGCCAGAAGGCGCCCGUCUGUAGUUCUUGCCAGACAUCUACCCUGCCAGCACCUUGCUCUUAGACGUCCAGCCUCCAGAACUGUGAGAAUAUAAAUUUCUGUAUUUAACCCACCCAGGCCUUGGUACUUCUGUUUUGGCAACUCUCGCUGACUCAUAUAAUCUACAACGCUUGUCGAUUUCUUAUUUUCUGCUUUUGUCCGUUUCUUGAUCAAUUCUGCAGAAUGAGACACCGUCC